AUCGAAAAGUAAGUGUUACUUAACUAUUUAGUUGUAACCUGCUUAAAAAUAUAUUCGGGUGCAGUUUAGUCUUAUCUUUUUUCAGGCGUCUCGACGUUGAAGUUAUUCUUCGAUACAUUCUGUGUAAAUAAAUAUUGAAAUGGUCACUUAGAGAGUUCCAAAAUCGUGUUCCCGACUUUUUGGCAUUAAUGUCGGGAAUUUUAAGUUAAUUAUUAUUUAUUCCACCUGUCAAAUGAAAUGUCAAUGUCAACAUUAGUGACGUCACAAUAUUUUAAAAUAACAAAGGGCCAAGUAAUUUUUUUUGUUGGUUUCCAUUUCGUUUAUGCACAAAAAAAGAUUACAAAUCAGAAUCAGAAAAUCAACAAAGGCUUUUCAGCUUUUGUCCGCGCUAUAAUCAGAUACGAGUAUUUGCAAACGAUUAAGAACUUGGUUAUAUACGGUACGGUAAGCAAAUAAGUUAUAAAAAUCGUAUGCCUUUGCUAUGAAGCAUUACCGGUCCGUAUUCCGUACUUCCAUUGUGCUUAUACUUCCAUUGUGCUUAUGUCUGCAUGUGCCUAUAUUUAUACUAUUCAAAAUAUCUGUUUUGUUAUACCACAUUGUUAUACUUGAAUACAUUUUUAUUCUUUU